GAUGAACGCUGGCGGCGUGCCUAAUACAUGCAAGUCGAGCGAACGGACGAGACGCUUGCUUCUCUGAUGUUAGCGGCGGACGGGUGAGUAACACGUGGAUAACCUACCUAUAAGACUGAGAUAACUACGGGAAACCGGCGCUAAUCGCGGAGAAUCUUUUGAACCGCAUGGGUCAAAGGUGAAAGACGGUCUUGCGGUCACGUAUAGAUGGAUCCGCGCUGCAUUAGCUAGUUGGUAAGGUAACGGCUUACCAAGGCAACGAUGCAUAGCCGACGUGAGGGGGUGAUAGGCCACACUGGAACUGAGACACCGUCCAGACGCCUACGGGAGGCAGCAGUAGGGAAUCUGCCGCAAUGGGCGAAAGCCUGACGGAGCAACGCCGCGUGAGUGAUGACGGUCUUCGGAUCGUAAAACUCUGUUAUUAGGGAAGAACAUAUGUGUAAGUAACUGUGCACAUCUUGACGGUACCUAAUCAGAAAGCAACGGCUAACUACGUG
rnacentral:rRNA from 1 species